rnacentral:rRNA from 1 species
AAAGAAAUCGUUAAGGGCGUAUGGCGGAUGCCUAGGCUUUCAGAGGCGAAGAAGGACGUGGUAAGCUGCGAAAAGCUCGGGGGAUUGGCACACACGAAUUGAUCCCGAGAUGUCCGAAUGGGGCAACCCGGCUGGUUGAAGACCAGUCACUUUAUAUUUAUAUAGAGAGCAAACCCGGAGAACUGAAACAUCUAAGUACCCGGAGGAAAAGAAAUCGAAGAGAUUCCGUAAGUAGCGGCGAGCGAAAGCGGAUUAGCCCAAAAGUCUUUAUAUGUUUAAUAGAAUGCUUUGGAAAGAGCAGCCAUAGACGGUGAUAGCCCGGUAUAUGAAAGGCAUACAUAGAUGAUAAAUGAGUAGGGCGGGACACGUGAAAUCCUGUCUGAAUAUGGGGGGACCAUCCUCCAAGGCUAAAUACUCCUGAAAGACCGAUAGUGAACAAGUACUGUGAAGGAAAGGUGAAAAGCACU